UUUAUAGAACGACAAAAGAAAACAUCGUACAGCAGUAUAUGUACUAAUAGUUACUGAAGAAUGCGAUGACUGGCACGAAGGCAAAUGUGGUAAGAAAUUUGUCAGUACUUAAUGAAAACGUUAAAAGUUAAUCGGGAUUUUAUUCAAUCAUCAUUUUAGUAUUUUUAUUAUAACAUAUAACUAUAUAUUCAACAAUCGAUAUGCAGUACUUCCUCAUAAUUUCUACUGUACUGUGCAGUUACAGUACCUUGCAUGAGACCUUUUCUUUUGUAAGAGUCCUGUUCUAUAUUACCUGUUUGGAUCUUCCGUGUAUUUAUAACAUAUUGUGCAAAUGAAUUUGAUCCAAAUAAAUUUGUUAAAAGUAAAAUAUUUAACCAUUUUCACUGGCUGCAAACCGUUCAUUUUUUACAAUUCGUUUAUUUGUUGUGCAUUGGACGUUAUUUAUAGUGGUUAAUUUUGGACGUGAUGGACGUUAUUCAUGUUGGUUAAUAAUUUCAUGACAUGCACAGCCCUGCACAUGCAAACAUUUAACAAUAUAACAUACUGUAGUUCUGAAAUACAUGUUUUAGGGAGAGUUCGAAAAUGGUUUCCUGUCGAUUCGGCAUCCGAACUGUUGAGGGAAUGUAAGCCAUUUCAGGCCUGUUACCUAGAUAAAGCUGUAACGACGAGGUGACAGGUAGGUUUUCUCGUGUUUCGGCUUGGAUUUUUUUUAAUACCUUAUCCAAUUUGCAGUGCUUUAAUUACAGUGCCGUGCAAUUACACUGUGUGAAGAACACUUUAAGGAAUUUCUCGUUCUAUAGAGACCUUUUUGCACGAAAUGAAAUAACGCAUUCGCAGUAAAGAUAAAUUAGGCUUCGCGAGAAACAUUUUCGCUUCGUCAGUGAGUGGAAGUCAGUUCUAUACUCACUGCGAAAGCGAAGAAAGUGCAUGGGAAAAUUCGAUAGAAUCUCCUACGUGUAUGUGCAACCAUCCAUGCCAGAAUCAUUUAUUAUAAAGAAGAUACUCAAUUUCUCGUGAAGAAUUUCGUUUUCGUGAAAGACUGCAUUCCCUGGAAUAUUUCUCAAUUUCACGUUAAUUACCACAACAAGUACAGUACACAUUGAAUAACACACAAAGCUAUAGAUGCUGUCCUUUUAUUCAUUUAGUUAUUUCAUAAGUAACAUGGAAAUAGAUGUGAACGUUUCCUCGCGUGUACAGCUAAGGCCAAAAAAAUAUGUGGGUUUCCUAUUUCUUCUUGUAAAAACUUAGGUAGGGUAGGUCGGUUUUAACUUUUUUUAAAACUUUUUUUUUAAUUUUCCUAACAACAGGACGCCAUUUUGUUUAGUCAACCGGACGCCAUUUUGUUUAGUCACAAACGUUUUCCUUUCCUAAGUGGAAACACUUACAAGCAUGAUCCAAUAAAAAAGUUUAGGGUCGGGAUUUCGGCGUCCAAAAGCUAGGUAGGGUCGGGAAACCGGAAACCCACGCAUUUUUUUUCCUAAUUCAGUUAAGGUUGUCCUUCAAAGUCAAAAGUCAAAACCACAAAACCUCGACCUCCAAGCGCGUAAAGCUCGUUGGACUCAUUGAAAUGAAUAUAACUGGAAGGCUACCUCCAACCGGAAAUUUGAAGCCAAACUUGAAGGCCAGUCCCAGUCUUUUCACGCAUGCGAAGAGCGCCCAAUCAGUCAAUCAUGAUAUAAACACGCGGUUCUUGUCCACUAGAAACGCGUGUCUGUUCAGGAUUUGGCUUCAAGACCUUACGAUGUGGGACGGCAACGUGACGACGACGGCUAUUCAUACAAUGAGAUUCAUAAUAUUUAAGAAAAAAAUGAAUAAUUAUCCUACAGGAGUUUGAGACAUCAUCCAUGGUCUGUUUACAACGGGAAACUACAGACUUUUACGUCUUGGAUACAACGCCUGUAUUUCAAGACGCGAGAAGUGAUACUCAGCAAAUUAGCUCAGUACUACAGUGGAACUUUCUCAACAAUAAAGCCACUAUUUCAAGCUAACCAAACAGUUUUAUUAAUUUCAAUGGGUGGAGAUGCAUAUGUUAUAAUUAAGUAAUUAGUAGUCCGACACUCCGUAGUUACGGAUGGUACGUCCCACGAGCCGUUUUGGUAUCGGCGUAAAAAAGCGAAUUCCGUGCUUUUCACCUAUUUCGGAUUUUAUUUGCUCGUCUAACCCGUACAAUAGCAAGUCCGGCAGAAUUAAUUGGAUUUUUAAACUUUCUAACGUUAUAAAGAAAGUUGUUUGUGGGAGAUGCUUCACUACUUUGGGAAUUAAAUCCACUUGAUUAGCAUAAAUGUGCUAACAUGCAUGCAUGCACAAACAAUCUUAUAAUGAUAAACACGCCCAUUUUUCGCGCUUAGAGGUCGAGUUUUUGUGGUUUUCAAAGGGCAACCCUAAUUGAAUUAGCUGUAUACGUACUGCAGUAUGUAUGAAACCGCUUAACUGAAAUGCAUGGCCUUUAAGAUUCUCCAAAUUCAGUAAAGUUCUCGUCAGCCUGAAAGAUACUAAAGUGGGAUUUCCAUAUUUCAAGGGCCUCUCGCCUGAAAUUUACAAUCGAACAGGCAUGUGGUAUAGACUGAAUCCCCAUCCCCUAUGUUACAUGCCACACACCCUUCCUCUGAAAAGUCAGAACCAUAUAGGCACUGCAAUAUAUCUCCAAAUAUUGAUUUGACGUGUAUGUCUAACAAGUGGCAGGUCAGUUUGUUCUUCCCCGUUUUUUGGAAAGGAUUGCGGAAUGCGGAAAUUAUUACCCAAUUAGUUUUUAGUGUGUAGUUUCUUCGAAACUUCACAAUAUUGUGAUGAGUGGCGAAAAAUUCACAUGUAUCAGUCAUUCAUUCAGUCAUAGAGUAAACUUUCCGGGGGGUGUAUACGAUUUAUGUUUGUAGUGAUUUAUUGUACUUAGGCCCGGUUUAGACGGCGAACUUUUCAUGCGCCGAAUCUAAUGCAAGGAUUAAGUGCGACGUUGGAGCGGCGUCUAAAUCAAUUAAGUUCGGCAGGUUUUGAUUAAGUUCGACACGACUCGAAGAUGCGACAGGACAAGUCGUAUAUGCGACACAGGUUCGACAUUGAUUUAGACGCCGUGCUUUUCAUGCGCCGAACCUAAUGCAUAAUUAUUUUUUAACAUCAUAAUAUGAUUAUCAUAUAUUUGCAUUGUAAAUAUUUCCAAUAUAAUGUCUUCGCAAUUUGGUACGGUGCAAUUAAGUUCGACGUCUAAAUCAGUUUCCCAUAUUUUGCCGUAUCUACGACAAUUAGAUUCGGCGCAUGAGAAGUUCGCCGUCUAAACCGGGCCUAGUCAGUGCUUUGAAGCAAUUUAGGCAAUUUCAGUUGUCUUAUUUAAAUAUUCUUUUAUCCUUUUGCCAAGUUCACAAAAAUUUCGAGGAAUCGUUUCGUUAUUUUCAUUUUUUGCAAAUUUUAUAACAUUCGCUUCUCAUGUUGUGUAAAGGAUCUUUACCCCGGAACACCCGGCGCCCAAUUAAGUGCCAGAAUAUUAAGUGCCAGAUAUUAUUUAGACCGUGUAUUCAUUAUACAAUGACUGUAUAAGGUGCUACACCACAGAAUAGAUGGCUACACUCAGCACAAAGAGCGAAAAAUUGCGGCAUGUAGUAAAACACUGACUACCGGAACACCGGAACACCACCGGAACACCGGAACACCACCAUUUUGUUUGGGGUUAGGGGUUGGGGUUAGGGUUAGGAUUGGGGGUUAGGGUUGGGGUUAGGGUUAGGAUUGGGGGUUAGGGUUGGGGUUAGGGUUAGGUGGUGUUCCGGUGGUGUUCCGGCGGUGUUCCGGUAGUCAGUGUUUUACUACAUGCCAAAAAUUGCAUCGGACAAUAUUAAAAGCGUAAACAACUAUUAAACAGAAGCGGGUGUUUGUAUGGCGUUUACGAAGAAAAUAACUUGCGAUCUAGUCUCUAGACUAAAGAAAUCAGUUGAGUCAGAGCUUUUUAUUUAUACAAGAAAGACGAGGAGAUAGCCAACGUGCCAACAAGCUUUAUGCAAUAGAAGAAAAAGGCAAGGAGGUAGCCAACGUGUACCGUCACAGUUUACUGUCUAUAUAGCACAACGUCAACGGUGCAAACUCGUGUUCAGUGCAACGAUAACGCUACCAGAUCUUACGAGAAUCAAUCUGUUCACAGAGCCGUAUCAAAGCUUGUUAAAACUGCUAUAAACACUGCUAUAACUGUGAAACUAUUGAAAUCUAAGGUGUCAUUAUUGAAUACAUGCGAAAAGCUGAAAAUGACUCAUGAAACGCAAUGUGACAUUGCCAUUGGGAAUAAGUCAAAGGUCAAUCAGACUUGUUAUUGUGAAACAUGUCACAAUUAGGUUAAAAUGCGGAAGCGGAUGGAGCGGAUCCACGGAACGGAUAUGGGGAUAAAAUAUAGAACGGAUGGGGAUAAAAUGCGUUCUUUUAACGAUGCAACGUAGUGCUUAUUAUUCAUAACAUAUCUUAUACAGCUAUUUGGAUGAUGAGAAUAAUCGUAUCAAAUAAGUUCAGCGUAUCAGUAGCCUCGCGAAGAUGCUUUUAGCGACAGCUGCAAAUGCAAAUAAAGUUUUAGAAUAUGCAAAAUUUGGGUGUUGGUGAAACAAUUUAAAUUUCGAGUUGUCGCAUGUAGCAUCACAAUAAAUAAAUAUAUUGUAUCAGUUCCACGAGGCACGUUUCUGAUCUGUUAGGCUUGUUUCAAACGUCGCGCUACUCAUGUGCCGAACGCAUUAUAAAAUAGAUGAGAUGAAAUGCCUUUCGUAACUGUUUAUUUCGUAGUGUAAGCCAUCAGCUUUUCUAGGUUGUCGGCAACCCUAUAUAGUUCUUGCAGUGUCUUUUUCAAUUUGAAACUUCACACUAUCCUUGGAUCCCUAGUUAAUUUUUACGUUUUGUCUUUAAAUUGUAGUUACCUUUUAAAUCCGGAUUAUAGUCAUCCUUCAUACACUAAAGUUCACUUUUAGUUAACUGCUUUUUAUGCAACCCGUCGCUGCCCGUAAAUAAUUUUCACGUUUUUGAAAUAUCGUAAAUUUGUGUUUUCCAACAGCUCUGGAAUUUGUCUCGAAGAUUCUUUGUGACAAGGAAAAACGUAAUGUGUGUACAAGAGGCUCAUACAGUUGUGGAAAGAUUUAGUUUUGUGCAAAACGACUGAUUAUACGUGUAUAAACGAGCUAUCCGAAGUUUUCCAGGUGUGCUAUAUGCUUUUUGUCUCUUUAUCAUGAAAUGCAUAUUUUUUAUUUAUUGUAUGCUGCAUAGCUAAAAUAUAAUAUUUAAUAAAAGAGUAUAUGUUUUGUCAAGAUCAUUUACAAGAUGUAAAGUGUAUAAUUAUUAUAAAGAUUAGGUCAAGCCCGUUCGGCGGAUGUGCGGUUUGUUUACAUAUGAUGUAGGCUACUUAUAUAUAGUUAAUACCUAACAUUGGUCUGGUUCGCUAUGCUUUUAAAUGAAUAUGAUUAGAGUUUCAAUUUAGAAAAUGUCGAAAUAACGCUAAUUUUGGAUGUUGUUUACACCAGAGAACACCGUGGAAAAACGUCUGCGCAUGCGCGUGUUCUAGAAAAAAUGGCGAGGAAUUUAAAUGCCAAAUUGUAAACAAAAACAUGGCUAUUUAAUUAUUUAAGGAAAAAUACACCAGACGGGUAGUUUAGACAUUAAUAUCUAAAAAGAAACAGAAUUUAAAUUAAAAAUUACGCUUUAGAACGUGUCAACAUUUCUUGAAAAAUUGUCGAAUAUAGUCAACGCAAAAAUUAUACAUGCUGCGCAAAAAACGUUAUUGAGAAAAAUGUGGAUCAUAUGAACCUACGAAAAAUAUCUUUGUAUGGUCCAGUUAAAGAACGUUUUAUACAAUAAAUUUAUCGACAGUCACCUUUCGUUCAUUUUAUAGCAUAUUACUAUUUCCCGCGCAUGUAGACUGUAAUUAUUUCUAGUUUUUAGGUUGUCACAGUCAUUAUUCCGCCGCUUGCAUUUUCACAGAAAAGGCAAAACAUCGAAGUUGCUCCUUGUCGCUUCCAUUUUGAGUUUUUGAACCUUCGGAAUACUUGACACCACGUUCGCAAGGCAAAUUUCAGUAAGGCUGACGCAUGCGCAGACGUUUUUCCACGGUGUUACACAAGAGGGUCCUCACACAGCACAUGCGCAGAACAAACUUGACCGCAUCUUAAAGUGUCUUUUUCUGUAUAUGUAAAUAGGAAUUUUGAAAGUAAAUAAAUGUCGUUUCAUAAAUUUUGUUCUUUAAUCACACAUUUUGCUGACUAUAAACAAUUAUUGGACGAGGUUAAGCACAAAUGUACGAAAGCACAUGUAAAGGACAAAUAUAUAAACCAAU
rnacentral:lncRNA from 1 species